rnacentral:hammerhead_ribozyme from 1 species
GUACUGCUGAAAAGUCCCAAAAUAGGACGAAACAGUUGUUCAGUAC